UACGUAGGGACCAAGCGUUGUUCGGAUUUACUGGGCGUAAAGGGCGCGUAGGCGGCAAUUCAAGUCAGCUGUGAAAUCUCCGGGCUUAACUCGGAAAGGUCAACUGAUACUGCGGGGCUAGAGUGCGGAAGGGGCAACUGGAAUUCUCGGUGUAGCGGUGAAAUGCGUAGAUAUCAGGAAGAACACCAACGGCGAAGGCAGCUCGCUGGGACGGAACUGACGCUAAGGCGCGAAAAGCGUGGGGGAGCGAACAGG
rnacentral:rRNA from 1 species